rnacentral:sRNA from 1 species
GCCGUUACCGCCCAGACUUUGGAGGGAGGCGUCUGGGACGCCCUGGAGGGGGACCCCCUGACCCCGCGCUGUCCUGGGGAGCGGUUUGCUUUCCUAACUCAUCGGAUGUACCACCCUGGAUACACACCCUUGAUAGGACUGCGGUGCUCGGCUGGGCAGCCUGGGCUGCUGCACUGCGAAGCUGUCCAAUGGCUUGAUGAAUCCGUGCCGCCGUCGCUUUGUGUUUCAAAGAUAAGGAUCCGCGCUUAUCGAAAGGAAGCUGUUGAAGUUAUUGAAGUACCUGUUGCUAUAUUCUAAGAAAUUAAAAUGUCCAAAAAUCUGCCUCUAAAUGGGAUCUCACUAUGUUGCUCAGACUGGACGUGAUUGAACUCCUGGGCUCAAGUGAGUCUCCCGAAUAACUGGGAUUACAGGACUUGACCCAAUGAAAGAAGCAUAUGGCACUUGUGAAGAUAAAUGUUACUCCUCCCUUUUUAAUUGGAACUUCCGCCUAGGACCUGUGUAUGACGUUUCACCUGUGAUCUGUUCUUUCAGUAGCCACUGACUUUGAG